UGAGCAAUCUGCCCUUCUCAUCGGAAUAAGCGUUGGAAACGACGUCUAAUGCCGAAUACGACCUCCUUUCGCAUGAUCGGAGGUGGAAAGCUCCGGCGGAGAAGGAUGAGCUCGCGGCCUAUCAGCUAGUUGGUGUGGGUAAUGGCCCACCAAGGCGACGACGGGUAGCCGGCCUGAGAGGGUGACCGGCCACACUGGGACUGAGACACGGCCCAGACCUCCUACGGGAGCAG
rnacentral:rRNA from 1 species